AAAAAUCACUAACAAAGUGAUCCUACUGACAACGCACUUGGGGUACUUCUUUUUUCCUCGCAUCAAUCAUGUCUAACCAAUCAGGCGUGCCCCACGACCGCACUCAAUUAUCCAGCACAUAUCGGAUACCAAUUAUUGCCGUGACUUUUCGUACAGAUCUAGUCUAGCGAGCUGCUUUACCUUGCUGCUCCACUAAGACCAGGCCAUUGAAAGGAUCUUCGAGUCGACCAAAUGUCAAAGCGACGCCAAACUCUACGCCGGGAAGAUGAGUCUUCACUGCCCUCAGCAUCGGUAAAAAGCGUGCUUAAAAAAACCGCGGGUAGGAACAGAAGGGCGCCACCGAACAGGGUUCGUUUCGCAACUGUACCUGUACCACUGGCAAAGAGUCAUGAAGAAAUUGAAAGGUUUGAAAUUUUGCGCCGAGCAGAACAAAGGUUGCCAAACAGGGAUCAUCCACACUCCUCCAGCGAUUCGAGUGGAACUUGCAGUUUCUAAAGGGCAUUACUUCUAAGAACAAAAGCUGAAAUCGAUUCCUCGCAAAACUCAGCACACCCGAACAGUUAACAGCGGCACACUGAUGAAUACCUUAUGACUUGUCAGUGAUGGACAUGCCGAUAAAUUCUGCCAUAGAAUAAAGGGCACAGAAUUACGCAAUGCGGUAUCCAGGGAAGACAUGAUAAAACUACGACUAAUCGAAUUAA